UGAGUCGACUUGGGGAGCUCGUCACCGAUGCCCUGCCACCCCGUUUAUUGCUUUGUCGUUAGAACUUGAAUCCUAACAGGCUCCCAGCUUGGUUUCUCCAGUUAUGCGCAUGUUAUAGCAACACCAUCUGACUGCAAGACUCAAAGUUCUAUUUUAGAAUCGAAUUCUAGGCGAGCGUCGUGGCCAGAACCUUUAAUCCCAGCGUUUGGGAAGCAGAGGGGGCGGAUCUCUGCGAAUUCGAGGCCAUCGUGGACUACAGAGCGAGUUCUUAGGACGGCCAGGGCUACUCAGAGAAACCCUGUCUCUAAAAUCCAAGAAGUAAAAAGAUUUUCUUCUUGCCUCAAGUGAAUGACCUGACUCUCCUGACUCUGAUAGUCGCGCAGACCCCAGAGGAAUGAAAUAUGAAUCAGGCUGCAUCAGUUACAAGCAAUAUCAAGUGUUACUGCAUGUAGUUAUCUUGAUGUCUGAAAAGAUUUUUUUUUUGGUGUAUCCAGAUGAUGAAGAGACAAAUAUGAAAGAAUGAACGUCAGUGCCUAGAAAACAAAAACAGCACAGAGAAAAGUGGGCGGUCAUGGAGAAGACCUUCACCCAUAGAGCUGUUGUAGAAGGCCUCUCUGCACUUCCAGCCGUGAUCACCACCAAGCUAAGCCAAACUCUAGCCUGCCACCCACAGAG